AGAUCAUGUUGUGGGCAAUUGCGAAGUACUCUCUUAUAUCAUUCCCAUGCUUCAUAUAAAGAUUCACUAUCUAAUUGCUGGAAAUUAUAGAUUUUCUUUUUAAGCU